CGGGUGUACAAUGAGCAAAGUUCAGCAAAAGGACGGCGUUUUCUGAGAAAAAAAUGACAGGCUGUUGGUCCAGAGCAGCAUCUCUGCAGCUUAGGACCACCAGGCUGCCAUCCCGGCACUGUUCUGCUUGCAGACAGCGCUCCAUGUUGUGGCACUCAGAGGGCGUCCCUCUGCCGUGCAGCCCUCCCCAGUGCCUGCCUGCCUGUCACUGUUGUGGCUGGGAUGGAGCUGUUUCCUUUGCAGUGCCUGCCAUGGCGCUGUGUUCACAUGCGUGCACCCCAUCCCUCUGCACACCCACGAGCACGAAGACUCGAGCACUGCUCCAGCCUUGCACACUGCCAUGUGCAUGCACACAGAUGCAAAACUUUCACCUGCAA
rnacentral:lncRNA from 1 species